rfam:Asian citrus Psyllid, Diaphorina citri - Florida Strain, whole genome shotgun sequence.
GCCUAGCUAGCUCAGUUGGUAGUGCGUCUGCCUUGUAAGCGCUAGGCCGCGGGUUCGAUUCCCGCCCGGGGCG